GAUGAACGCUGGCGGCGUGCUUAACACAUGCAAGUCGAACGAUGAAGCCCAGCUUGCUGGGUGGAUUAGUGGCGAACGGGUGAGUAACACGUGAGUAACCUGCCCUUAACUCUGGGAUAAGCCUGGGAAACUGGGUCUAAUACCGGAUAGGAGCGUCCACCGCAUGGUGGGUGUUGGAAAGAUUUAUCGGUUUUGGAUGGACUCGCGGCCUAUCAGCUUGUUGGUGAGGUAAUGGCUCACCAAGGCGACGACGGGUAGCCGGCCUGGGAGGGUGACCGGCCCACACGGGGGCUGAGACACGGCCCAGACCCCCACGGGGGGCAGGAGGGGGGAAUUUUGCAAAAGGGGCGCAAGCCUGAUGCAGCGACGCCGGGGGGGGGAUGACGGCCUUCGGGUUGUAAACCUUUUUCAGUGGGGAAGAAGGGAAAGGGAGGGUACCUGCAAAAAAAGCACCGGCUAACUACGU
rnacentral:rRNA from 1 species